CAUCUACAAAGGCUGAACAGUGUCGUGAAGUUAUCGCUCAGCAGGCUUGUGUUAUAGAGGACUACAAAGAACAACUCAAUCUAUUGAGGAAUUCAGAGAUGUCAGUUCACCAGGAAUCUCAGGAAAUGGACAGAUUAAUGAGACACAGUCCCUUGGCACACAGACUGAUAUGCAGAGAGAAAAGAAUACAUGACAUUGACAAAGAAAACCAGUCUCCUUCUGAAAAAAUUCAUGUCUCCAGUUCUCAGAUUAAAGGACAUGGAGCAAAACAAAAACAGACUCUCUUCAUCAGAUUCCUUGAACGGCAUGGAGAAUGGAACGCUUUCUCCGAUAAAAAGAAAACCCGUCCUGUCAGAAGAUCUCGUACAGAAUGAUAGGAGUGUUCGGUUGUCGGAAGAUUUAACGGACGAUAGUCAGAUGGACUUGGACCAGGCUUUUGUGACAGCUCACACUAUGCAGGCGUAUGUGUCGAAAACCCUAGAGAA